UCUAGUUGCUAAAGGGUAAUUCAAAUUUUACAUAUCAGAACCAUAACUGAUUAAGUACUAGAUCUUUCAUAGAAGUUAUAUGUACCAGAUAUAAUAUUAGUUGAAUACAUAAGAACAACAAUAAAGACAUGGAAUGUCGUAAAAUAAAACGUACUUUGCUGGUCUUGUGUACAAUAUACUAAUUGCAAGAGUUUAAGAUAUAAAAAUAUGGGAUAAUACUAAUCAUACUGGUACUAUGGUUAGUAUUUU
rnacentral:sRNA from 12 species